rnacentral:rRNA from 1 species
UACGGAGGGUGCGAGCGUUAUCCGGAUUCACUGGGUUUAAAGGGUGCGUAGGCGGUUCGCCAAGUCCGGGGUGAAAUCUUUCGGCUCAACCGGAAAAUUGCCUUGGAUACUGGAUGGCUAGAGGUUGGGAGAGGGAUGCGGAAUUCCAGGUGUAGCGGUGAAAUGCGUAGAUAUCUGGAGGAACACCGGUGGCGAAGGCGGCAUCCUGGACCAAUUCUGACGCUGAGGAGCGAAAAGCCAGGGGAGCAAACGGG